rnacentral:miRNA from 1 species
UGUGUGUGUGUGUGUGUGUGUGUGUAUGUGUGUAGUCCUUAUCAGGCCUUUGGGUCACAGCAGCGAAAUCCAGAUACACACACACACACACACACACACACA